CCGCUGGUUGGAGACGCUCGCCACCGAUUUCUCUCAAGAUGUUAGAGAACAAGAAACAGCACAGAAGACAUAAGCCGCAAGAAAACACAGGACACCUGAGAACAAGAACUUAAAACUAAACAGUAAACUUCUAAUACCCGUUUAUGGUAAACUUACCAAAGUAACAGCUUGGCAAAGUUUUUGCGCUGACGGGAACGUAACAAACGUUUUUCAAGCAAAUCCUGACGAUGAGCAAUGGCGUCUAAUAUAUGAUCGACCGAAACUUUGCAUUUGUAAGCUGCUUGUUCAAGGAGAACUGACAGCUCCGAGUCUUCAGACCUUUUAGUAAAAAAACGACAUCAAAUCGUUUUUCCAGAAACAAAAAAAAACAUAAAAUCACCUGAACAAGGUUGACAAUUUUUCUUCGAAAAUUUGUUUUAAUUUUUCUUUCAAUUUUAAUAUGGUCUCAUCACUAUCUUCAACAACAUCAAUUUGCAGACAUGAAGCAGUUAUAAGUGUUUCACAUAAUGUCCUUUGUUGCUGUAAUUCACUGGAAGACAGUAAUGCAGAUAUAUGUGAAGGAACUUGAAGUGUGUCCAAUUUUUGCAAUUUAUCAAAACAGUAAAAAGUGUAUCUUUUGGCAAAUGACAGAGGAUGAAAUAAAGAUUCAUAAUUCAUUAAAAAGGGAUGAAGAAUUUCAAAGAAACUAUUUGGUAUAAGUUCUGGGCAGCAUCUCCACAUAUGUUCAUUAAAUGAUUCCUUAAAAGUGUUUUUGCCAUUCAGAUGUAACUCUACAUUAUGUGCAACUGCAACAGCACAAUACACAACCACAGAAGCAAUUUCUUCACUAAUUUCAUCAACAUUCAUUUCACCAUGUGAAAUAUGAUCCCUUAAUCGUAAACCAGCAGGCAAAUUGAAUAUGUCAAUCAACAGCUCCUGAGAGUAGUAAUAAAACACUUGAAUUAAA